rnacentral:rRNA from 1 species
GUGCUGCACGUCGACGUGGCCGGGCGCUCCCUGGCCGUGGUGGAGCGCGACGGCGCGCACGACCCGGCCACGGGGCGCGCGCUCACCAGCUCCUGGCUCUGGGACUCCGCCGUCGUCCUCGCCACCCACCUUGCCUCGGCCAGACACGGAACGAUCCACGGCGCCACCGUUCUCGAGCUCGGCGCCGGCACCGGCCUCCCGGGCAUCGCGGCCGUCGCGUGCCUCGGCGCCGCGCGCUGCGUGCUCACCGACGUGGGGCCGCUCCUGCCGGGCCUCAGGGCCAACGCCGAGGCCAACGGUCUCACGCCCGCGCAGGCCGACGUGCGGGAGCUGCGCUGGGGCGAGGACGCCGACCUGCCCGACUGCGAGCUCCUGCGCGUGGACGUGGUGCUCAUGUCCGACGUGUUCUAUGAUCCGGAGGAGAUGCCGGCGAUGGCGGCCACGUUGCGCCGGCUGUGGCGGGACGGCACGGUGGGGUGGGCGACCAGCGAGGUGCGGUGUGGCGUGCAGGAUUGCGUGGACGUGCUGCGGGAGCACGGCUUCGAUGUGGCCGAGGUCGACAGGGUCACCAGGCCGCUGCUGCGCGACCCCACACAGGCCUCCGACUUCGCCGUCUAUCGCGUCGAGCUCCGGCGGCCUCAUUAG